UCUGGCGUUAUCUUGAGAUAGGAAUUUAUGAAAAUACUUUUGAAAGUCAGGUACCUAAGCUUAAGGUUGUGCA
rnacentral:miRNA from 1 species